rnacentral:rRNA from 1 species
GACAGAGGGUGCAAACGUUGUUCGGAAUUACUGGGCGUAAAGCGCGUGUAGGCUGCUUGGAAAGUCGGAUGUGAAAGCCCUGGGCUCAACCUAGGAAGUGCAUUCGAAACUUCUGAGCUGGAGUUCUGGAGAGGAAGGCGGAAUUCUCGGUGUAGAGGUGAAAUUCGUAGAUAUCGAGAGGAACACCGGUGGCGAAGGCGGCCUUCUGGACAGUGACGUGACGCUGAGACGCGAAAGCGUGGAGAGCGAACAGG